rnacentral:rRNA from 1 species
UACGAACCGUGCGAGCGUUGUUCGGAAUCACUGGGCUUAAAGGGCGCGUAGGCGGGCUGCCGCGUCCGGGGUGAAAUCCUCCCGCUCAACGGGAGAACGGCCUCGGAUACGGGCGGCCUCGAGGGGGGUAGGGGCAUCUGGAACUGUGAGUGGAGCGGUGAAAUGCGUUGAUAUUCACAGGAACUCCGGUGGCGAAGGCGAGGUGCUGGACCCCAUCUGACGCUGAGGCGCGAAAGCCAGGGGAGCGAACGGG